rnacentral:snRNA from 14 species
UACAGUUGAGAGCCUCCCUGGAGUCAGUAGCCUUUUGCUCUGUAGGGGUUUUCCGGAGGGGGCCUUUGAUCCAGCAUAGGGCUGGGCUGGUAAGGGACA